rnacentral:rRNA from 1 species
UAGCGUAGGGGCCUAGCGUUGUCCGGAAUUAUUGGGCGUAAAGCGCGCGCAGGCGGUCCUUUAAGUCUGAUGUGAAAGCCCACGGCUCAACCGUGGAGGGUCAUUGGAAACUGGGGGACUUGAGUGCAGAAGAGGAAAGCGGAAUUCCACGUGUAGCGGUGAAAUGCGUAGAGAUGUGGAGGAACACCAGUGGCGAAGGCGGCUUUCUGGUCUGUAACUGACGCUGAGGCGCGAAAGCGUGGGGAGCAAACAGG